rnacentral:rRNA from 1 species
GACGAACGCUGGCGGCGUGCCUAAUACAUGCAAGUAGAACGCUGAAGAGAGGAGCUUGCUCUUCUUGGAUGAGUUGCGAACGGGUGAGUAACGCGUAGGUAACCUGCCUUGUAGCGGGGGAUAACUAUUGGAAACGAUAGCUAAUACCGCAUAACAAUGGAUGACACAUGUCAUUUAUUUGAAAGGGGCAAUUGCUCCACUACAAGAUGGACCUGCGUUGUAUUAGCUAGUAGGUGAGGUAAUGACUCACCUAGGCGACGAUACAUAGCCGACCUGAGAGGGUGAUCGGCCACACUGGGACUGAGACACGGCCCAGACUCCUACGGGAGGCAGCAGUAGGGAAUCUUCGGCAAUGGGGGCAAGUCUGACCGAGCAACGCCGCGUGAGUGAAGAAGGUUUUCGGAUCGUAAAGCUCUGUUGUAAGUCAAGAACGGGUGUGAGAGUGGAAAGUUCACACUGUGACGGUAGCUUACCAGAAAGGGACGGCUAACUACGUG